CCACUCGUCAAGAACUCUCUCUGUGACUUGCGUGAACUUUCAUGUGAAAAUCGCAUCACAGUCUGAGUUCUUGCUGAGCGC
rnacentral:pre_miRNA from 13 species